rnacentral:rRNA from 1 species
GACGAACGCUGGCGGCGUGCCUAAUACAUGCAAGUCGAACGCAGUGGGGACGGGUGAGUAACACGUGGGUAACCUCCCAUCAGAGGGGAUAACACUUGGAAACAGGUGCUAAACCGAUACUGAUUGAUGGACCCGCGGUGCAUUAGCUAGUUGGGGAGGUAACGGCUCACCAAGGCCACGAUGCAUAGCCGAACGGAGAGGGGGACCGGCCAAACUGGGACGGAGACACGGCCCAGACUCCUACGGGAGGCAGAAGUAGGGAAUAUGGGGCAAUGGACGAAAGUCUGACCGAGCAACGCCGCGUGAGUGAAGAAGGUUUUCGGAUCGUAAAAUUCUGUUGUUAGAGAAGCGGUAUCUAAACAGAAAGCCACGGCUAACUACGUGCCAGCAGCCGCGGUAAUUC